GCGUCGGGUGUAACGGUUAGCAUACGCUCCUGGUAAGAGUGAGAUCUGAGUUCGAACUCCAGCUGACGCA